rnacentral:misc_RNA from 1 species
GGAAUUUCGAGUUGAAGUCAACGCCUGGACUGUCAUCUUAUAAGAAAUCUGAUUCCUUUUCCAAUCAUAAAUCAUCAGUUCCUAAUAAUUCUCAGAUUCAGAGAAAUCCACUCACCAACAGGCAGAGAUCUUUGUCUCCUCUCCCUGAAACAGUCCUUUCUGAUGCUUUUGAGGAAGCAAGGUCUGAUAGAAAGAGAUUCUCAACUCCACAUCCUCGCAGGAAAGAUCAUGACAAGGGAAUCAAGGGAAAGUUUUUCCGUAAGGAAUCUCCAGAAACCAAGCCAUCCAGUCCCGCAUCAAAUACAAGCCCACUUCGGCAGUUGUCUUCAAUGAAGGGUCAUGAAAAAUCAAAGUUCAAGAAAGAAUCUUCUUGGACGAAGUUUUUUGACCAUGCUGGAGGAAGGGUUAAUGCUGUGGAAGCAGCUGAUGAAUUUAGCGUGGAUAUGUCCAAGCUUUUUCUUGGGCUUAGAUUUGCUUACGGGGCACAUAGCAGGCUUUACCAUGGUGUAUACAAAGAUGAACCUGUUGCAGUUAAAAUUAUCAGGGCACCAGAUGAUGAUGAAAAUGGAACUUUAGCUGCUAGAUUAAAAAAUCAAUAUGACAGAGAAGUCACCCUUUUAUCUCGGCUUCACCAUCCGAAUGUCAUAAAGUUUGUGGCAGCAUGCAAAAAGCAACCGGUUUAUUGUGUUAUAACGGAAUAUUUAUCUGAAGGUUCCUUGAGGGC